UUUGAUUAGGAUUUGAUUUAGGAUUAGGAUUUAGUUAGGAUUUGGUUUAGAAUUUAGGAUUAGUUUAAAGUUUAAGAUUUGGCUGGGAUUUGGUUUAGGAUUUAGGAUUUGAUUAGGAUUUGAUUUAAGGUUAGGAUUUGGUUAGGGUUUGAUUUAGGAUUAGGAUUUGGUUUAGGAUUUAAGAUUUGGUUAGGAUUUGAUUUAAGAUUAGAAUCUAAUUAAGAUUUAAUUUAGGAAUUAGGAUUUGAUUUAGAAUUUGAUUUAGGAUUUAAAGUUUGAUUAGGAUUUGAUUUAAAAUUAGGAUUUGGUUACGAGUUGAUUUAGAGUUUUGAAUUUGAUCAAGGUUUGAUUUAGGAUUUAAGGUUUUAUUUGAGUUUAUUUAUGAUUUAAGAUUUAGUUAGUUUUUGGCCUAAAUUUAGAAUGAUGUCUAAUAUGAUUUCAACUAGGAUUAAAUUAAGAUUGAAUUG
rnacentral:lncRNA from 1 species